GAUGAACGCUGGCGGCGUGCCUAAUACAUGCAAGUCGAGCGAACAGAUAAGGAGCUUGCCCCUUUGACGUUAGCGGCAGACGGGUGAGUAACACGUGGGUAACCUACCUAUAAGACUGGAAUAACUCCGGGAAACCGGGGCCAAUGCCGGAUAACAUUUAGAACCGCAUGGUUCUAAAGUGAAAGAUGGUUUUGCUAUCACUUAUAGAUGGACCCGCGCCGUAUUAGCUAGUUGGUAAGGUAACGGCUUACCAAGGCAACGAUACGUAGCCGACCUGAGAGGGUGAUCGGCCACACUGGAACUGAGACACGGUCCAGACUCCUACGGGAGGCAGCAGUAGGGAAUCUUCCGCAAUGGGCGAAAGCCUGACGGAGCAACGCCGCGUGAGUGAUGAAGGUCUUCGGAUCGUAAAACUCUGUUAUUAGGGAAGAACAAAUGUGUAAGUAACUGUGCACGUCUUGACGGUACCUAAUCAGAAAGCCACGGCUAACUACGUG
rnacentral:rRNA from 1 species